GUAUUAUUGAAAAUGUGAAGUCUCCAGCGUAAUUUCUCUAUUCCUUUUUUUUUUCAUGAGAGGAGACCGAUCAACAAGGGAAAAAGGCUUUUUUCCAUCAGUUAACACAGUAUGCGGUAAGAAUUGAUAGAUUAAUACCUUUUUCUUUACUUUUUUUCCGUGUUAUCACGCAUAAUUUCUUCAUUUCAUCCUAUCACUCGUGUCAGAUUUGGCUCAGCAGAAGCAAAGGUACGUACUAACUCUAAAUAUGCCGCUAGCUAAAUAUGCCGCUCACAUAUAAAUUUAAAUAUACCGCUAGUUGGGUGUAAGAUUCGAUGUUGAUAAGGAAGAGUUAUAAAAAUAACAAACUGCUAUCUUAUAUAAAUAAAGUAUCAAUAAUCAGAAAGAAAAUACUGGAUUAACUAAUGAAAUAAUUAAAAGUUACUAUAUGUCGUCAAUCAUGUGAACAUGUAAGUGUAUUUCAAAGAUAUUAUUUACCACAGAAUAAUUAUUCGAACAUGUUUACACCGCGCCAGCCUCUUUACUGAUCCUGUUUAAAGUUACAGGAUGUGUUAUCUUCUCUUCCUGCACCUGCUAUUGAUUCUGCCUUUGCUGGAAUUUGGAUCCACAGUAUGGAACACACGGUGCCACUGAAACAUCUUGAAUCUCUGCAACCAAAUUGGAGAAAAGAAAUGAGCGGCCUAUCCAAAUUACGUUAUGCCAACCACUUCAAACUCCCAACUAGUACUCCGUGCAGGGAAGGCUCAUUACUGCCGAUCUUAUCAAAUACUGCAAGAUUUUUCACUACUCGGCGAUACUAGCACAUGACCCCUUAACAAAGUCUCCAUUAACUCACACCAGAGGUCGCCAAUUCCAAAGUGGCAAGCCCCAAUCCCCGCGUAUCGGUAGAGACCAGACACUCAGAGGAUUCCCAACAAUACCUAUUAUCAGAUACCAACAAGAAUGGACAGUCACCUUGCUAUGUCCAACAGACUCCUCCAGAAGCAAGGAACUGCCAGUCCAGUACAUCACAGGAGGCAUUGCUAUUGGGCGGCAAAAAAAAUUCACCCUUCAGGAAGAUAUUUGACCACAGGUGUGUGUGCACGUGUGCGUGUGUGUGUGAAUUAAGAUUGAGGAGAAAGUAGAAAGUGGAUGGAAGGAUGGAACUGCAAAGGAUGGGAGUCAGAGGUGAAGGUGCAAGGGACAUGCAAUGAUGCAAUAUUCCUUUUUAAUCUUCCCUGUAAAAUUUAAUCUUAUAAAAUCCUGAUGUGCCUUCAUUCCAUACAGCCUGCAUUUUACUACUACAUUAUUACACAACAUAAAAGCAUAAUACACUUCAGCUUUUUCCACAAUGACAAUAUUUCUUUUCAAUCUUCCGUACCAGACUUUCUUUCUCUACAAAUCCUUAUUCUUCCCACAGUCUGCAGAAGAUGUGCGAGUCAGGCCUGAUGAACAAGCUGAGGACCAAAUGGCUAUCAGCAGGAACCUCAACAUGUGGCAGGAAGACUAAAAAUCACAGCCAGCCUCUCUGAUGUGGCUGCAGUCUUCAUCCUCUUGAUGGGUGGUGCAGCAUUUAGCUGUCUGCUGCUGCUGCUGCUGCUGCUGCUGCUGCUGCUGCUGGAGUAUGUGGUGGGCAGUGCUGCAGGUGUGAAAUCAUGGCUUGUAUUCUGAAAUGCUCUGCUCUCUCACCAUGACCAUUUUCAGAGGCCACAUAGAUGGGUUCUCAAGGUUUCUCCUGUUGAUAAAUUUUAAAUCUUGUCAAUUUGGCAUUAGACCUGUAUAAGCACUCUUAACAUUUGUGUACCUUCAUCUAGAGGCUUUUGAAAGCAGUGGAGGUGAAAUUUAGAAGACCUAACACUUGAAAGCAACAAUGAUAACCUUCAGUUCUAUCUACCUAGUACAGUAUAUGGACCGGCUGACAAACCCACACAGGGAUGCCAAGGCAAAGCACAUAACAUACCUUAACGAUUGAAAGUCUAACAUAUCCUGCCGUGUACAUAAGAGCAUAAGGGAAGCUGCAAGACUACACUAGGCAGGCCCUCUAUAAAGCAUAUUUACCACACUUACAGGUACAACAUGCAAGACAGAGGUGGUGGAUGAUGAGUUCCUGGGGAUUGCUGACCUCAAUGAAGCACAGACAUAACAAGAGACGGGAGACCUGCACUGUUAAAGCCUUAAGCAUUCUAAUCACAUUCCAUGUAACUCUCUUCACUCUUAGAUCCCUUAUUGGGUAUUCUUAUGUAUAGUUGCUCGCAAAUAUGGAGUUUAGUUAUAA